CGGGGGCUCUUUCGCCAGGUGCUGGAGGCCGUGCAGCACUGCAGCAGCUGCGGGGUCCUGCACAGGGACAUAAAACCGGAGAACAUCCUGCUCGACCUGGCCACUGGGCAGCUGAAAUUGAUCGACUUUGGCUGUGGCGCCUUCCUGCAAGACACAGCCUACACCCAGUUUGCAGGAACCCUGUCCUACAGCCCACCAGAGUGGAUCCACCAGCAACGCUACCAUGGCCAGGCAGCAACAAUCUGGUCCCUGGGCCUCCUGCUCUACCAGCUGGUCAUAGGGAAGCACCCAUUCAUGAGGGGCCAGCAGAUCAUCUGGGGGCGGAUCUUGUUCCCACGACGGCUCUCCCAAGAAUGCCAAGAUAUUAUUAAGAGGUGUUUGUCCAUGCAACCCUCGGACAGGCCAUCCUUAGAAGACCUUUUCCGCGAUCCUUGGAUGCAGGCUGUUCAUCUGCCCUAGGAGAUGGGAGAGAUCCACAUGCACAGUUGGAUCCAGGGGCCUGGCAGGCAAGGAGAAGGAGCCCCUGGAGAAGCUGUUACCAGCUGGGGCUGCUGCUGGAGACACCAAGGGCAACCUCAAGGAUGGCAAUCUCUUCCUCUAGCUGGCCAGCUGAAGAUGAUGGAUUUCAAUUCUGGCAUGUCUUCUUCAAAGACUCGCUCCACGCCCAAUUUGCAGCCGGGCUCUGCGGAUACUGAGGCUGCUCUGGGCUCUGCCAGGGCUCUGCUGGGCUCAGCCCCAGGCACAGCUGGGCUCACCCUGCCCUCCCAUUGCUCUGACAGCUUUGCAUCACACGAGCCCGUUCCCAGCACACCGCCUGAGCUUUCUGCUUUUGCAGAAGUGCCACUGCUGCGUUCCUGAGGCAGUGCAGUCUGGAGCUGAUGGAUGAAGAAUUGCCCUUCUGCACUUCCGAACCAGAGCAAAAAGCUGUAAGUGGGACUUUGCAUCUUUAAGAAACACCUGAAUGUUUGAAAAGGAAUGUGCAGCUCAUUCACAGGAAAUCAUGCUAUGAAAAAGAAGUGUCAUUUGCUCCUGGUUCCUGUGUGGAGCAGCUCCCUUCCCGCUGGCUGAGCUGCUCAGGCAGAG